GAAUCUUAUGUGGAUUUACUUCUUUCAGCAAAAAAGUUGCGAAACGAAAUGAGUUUUUCAAGAGAGGAAGAGCCGGAAAGGAUUCCCAACAUUGAGAGAAGGAUAAGUAGGAAUGAAAAAGCGUUAUAUUCCCUGGAGAAACGUCAUGGUGUUCGAACAAGAUGGAAGAAAAAAGAAAAAGCAUAUCAAAAUGCGUAUACAAGACUUAUUGCCAAGAAACAGCAAAAGUUACUUCAUACCCUUCAUAGGAUGGCGUCGGAGAGAA